UCAAAAAUGCCUCCUAUGAGGUGUAGCGGA
rnacentral:piRNA from 1 species